rnacentral:lncRNA from 1 species
CAGAUGUGAGACACCUUGACCAACUGAGAAUUUUUAAAACUACAAAUAUACAAUUAAGAGCAUACAUGAAGAUUAAGAAGACCUCUAGGAUGGCCUGGAAGGAGUUCCUCGUCUCCUGUGGUCCAACGGCAGAUAUGGCUGAACUGAAAAGGGCUGCAAGUUUGCAGAGGCAAAGCUCCUGCCCCAAGGGACAGGGGCAGCUGAGGCACAGCAGGCCGGCACUAAAGGCCCACUCUCUCCAAGAUCAUCCUCUCCUAGAGCUGCAGAGGUUGCCAUGGAGACAGACAAUCACAUUGGCCCACGAGUCAGCUCACACCCAGGACCUCAAAGGGUACCCUCUUGCAGUAAGCACUGCUGGCUGCCCACCCAACCGCCCUUACCCCCUUUUUUGCUCCUGGAACUCUUGUGUCACAGGCCAAUCCUGAUGAGUCUACGUUGGUGAAGUGUGAGCCUCCCAUUCUCCUUGCCAGUGAUUGGCUUACAGGUUCCCUUCAAAUUAAGUCAUCUCUUCUUCAAGGCUCAGUCAUAUAAAUUUCAAAGGACACGUGGCCAUGCUCCAUACCAGAAAGGUUUGAAGGAGGUUUAACAACCUCAAGAAACUCAGACAAUCAUCCAGUGCCUCGCCCAGCAGGAAAGUGCUGAAGCGGGUGGGGUGACUGGUCACCAAGCAAGGCUCAUGCGGAUGGGCAUCGAUAAAGACAUCGAUAAAGACGUGGUUACCAUGGCAACCAUCACUUCUAACUUCUUAUCAAACCACAUCCUGUGAACAUGAGGGAGCAGAGCCGAAGUGAGAGCCAGAGACCCUGCAUCCUUCCUUAUUCUACUCUUGCUACCAUUCCGCACCACUACCGUGCCUCAGUUUCCCCCAAUUUAAAGUGAGACAAUACUUCUUUACCUUUCAUCUGACCACGGACACUUGGGAAGCCAUGCCUAGAGGAGGCUUCACCCCUCAGUGAAAAGAGACCUCAGGGAGACCUUGUUCUCCCUGAGCCUUGUACAUUCAGAUUUUCUAGGAGUUGAACAGGUAAGAGGUACCUGAGUAAGAGGUAUAAUAUUAAUAAUUCUACCGCCUGCUCUAUGACUGUCCAUGUGAUGUUGGGCAAGUCAAUCUCUCUGAGCCUCAGUUUCUUUAUCUCUAAAAUGGGCAUAACUAUUUAUGCCCUCUCUACUUUACAGAGUUAUGGUGAGAGCUGUACAAGGUAAUGUUGUGGAAGCAUUCUGAAAGAUGUAAAAUCUCACAUAAAUGGAAGGAACAAAUAUUGCCUUCCAUUUAUACUCCCUCCUCUUAAGUUCCUCUAAAUCAAUUUAUAGAUGAAAACCCGUUAGCCUGAAGAGUUCCAGCACCACUGCUUUCCUUAGAAUACUGGUUCUCAAGCCAGGUGUGGUGGCUCACGCCUGUAAUCCCAGCACUUUGG